AGAGUUUGAUCAUGGCUCAGAUUGAACGCUGGCGGUAUGCUUAACACAUGCAAGUCGAACGGUAACAGGCCUUCGGGCGCUGACGAGUGGCGGACGGGUGCGUAACGCGUAGGAAUCUACCUAGUAGUGGGGGACAACUUAUGGAAACGUAAGCUAAUACCGCAUACGCCCUACGGGGGAAAGCGGGGGAUCUUCGGACCUCGCGCUAUUAGAUGAGCCUGCGUUGGAUUAGCUAGUUGGUAGGGUAAAGGCCUACCAAGGCGACGAUCCAUAGCUGGUCUGAGAGGACGAUCAGCCACACUGGGACUGAGACACGGCCCAGACUCCUACGGGAGGCAGCAGUGGGGAAUAUUGGACAAUGGGCGAAAGCCUGAUCCAGCAAUACCGCGUGUGUGAAGA
rnacentral:rRNA from 1 species